rnacentral:rRNA from 1 species
GGGUACAGGGAAUUAGGGUUCGAUUCUGGAGAAGGAGCCUGAGAAACGGCUACUACAUCUACGGAAGGCAGCAGGCGCGUAAAUUACCCAAUCCUGACUCAGGGAGGUGGUGACAAGAUAUAACGACGCGGUUAUUAUCCCGAUUGGAGUGAGGGUAUUCUAAACAAAACCUAUAGUACGAUUUGAGGGCAAGUAA